AUAGUUUGAUGCUGGCUCAGAACGAACGCUGGCGGCGUGCUUAACACAUGCAAGUCGAGCGCGAAAGGGCUCCUUCGGGAGCCCGAGUAGAGCGGCAGACGGGUGAGUAACACGUGGGUAACCUACCUCGGGGCGGGGAAUAACCAUCCGAAAGGAUGGCUAAUACCGCAUAUGGCCAUGGGUCCUCGGACUUAUGGUCAAAGGCUUCGGCCACCUUGGGAGGGGCCCGCGGCCGAUUAGCUAGUUGGUGAGGUAACGGCUCACCAAGGCGACGAUCGGUAGCUGGUCUGAGAGGAUGAUCAGCCACACUGGUACUUAGACACGGACCAGACUCCUACGGGAGGCAGCANUGGGGAAUAUUGCGCAAUGGGCGAAAGCCUGACGCAGCAACGCCGCGUGGGUGAAGAAGGCCUUAGGGUCGUAAAACCCUGUCAGAUGGGAAGAAACCUGCUUAGCAGCUGACGGUACCAUCAAAGGAAGCACCGGCUAACUCCGUGCCAGCAGCCGCGGUAAUACGGAGGGUGCAAGCGUUGUUCGGAAUCACUGGGCGUAAAGGGCGCGUAGGCGGCCUGUCAAGUCUGAUGUGAAAGCCCGGGGCUCAACCCCGGAAGUGCAUUGGAAACUGGCAGGCUUGAGUUCGGGAGAGGAGGGCAGAAUUCCUGGUGUAGGGGUGAAAUCCGUAGAUAUCAGGAGGAAAACCAGUGGCGAAGGCGGCCCUCUGGAACGUAACUGACGCUGAGGCGCGAAAGCGUGGGGAGCAAACA
rnacentral:rRNA from 1 species